rnacentral:misc_RNA from 1 species
CCGAGUUUCCGAACUCCAUACCUUUGUGAACAUACCAUCGUUGCUUCGGCGGGUUCGCCCCGGGGCGCGCAGCUCGCUGCCGCCGCGGACCCAGGCGCCCGCCGAGGGACCCAAACUCUUGUCUUUUAUAGCGGAAUCUUCUGAGUCUUACAAUAAGUAAUCA